ensembl:lncRNA
CUCAGGAACACUUUGACACGAGGACGAGCCAGGGAUCGAACUGGCAACCUUGCAGUUUUUUUCUAUGUCUCCUUUCAGGCGAGUGUGUCUGACAGGCUCCUAAGGACACAGAGGUUGCGUCCCUCGGAACGAAUGCCGCAGCCUAUAGGCUUUAGAACAGGCUUUAGGACAGGCUGUAGGACAGGCUGUAGGACUGGCUUUAGGACAGGCUCUUAGGACAGGCUUUAGGACAGGCUUUAGGACAGGCUUUAGGACUGGCUUUAGGACAGGCUUUAGGACUGGCUUUAGGACAGGCUUUAGGACAGGCUGUAGGACAGGCUUUAGGACUGGGUCUUAGGACAGGCUUUAGGACAGGCUUUAGGACAGGCUUUAGGACAGGAGCUUUAGCAGGCAGGCUUUAGGACAAGCUUUAGGAGGCAGGCUUAAGGAUUGGCUUUAGGGCAGGCUUUAGGA